UUUCUCUCUCUCUUUCGUCACUCUCAUGGUUAGGCUUUUGCCUUGUAUUUUAAUGGCGAUCUCGAGCUUCCAUGCUCUAACAUGGUAUCAAAGCACAUAUCUGUGAUCCUUACGAGUCCCUCUAUCUUCCGAUACUACCCUCGAAGGGUUUCUAUUCAUGUGAAAGUUCGUCGCUGUCUUCAUUUUGGAGUUUUCCCAUCAAAAUCAGUAUAUCCAAGGCCUUACUUCUUCAGGUUACGAACAAGGGCGGUAACCAUUUUUUUUCAUGUAUGUUUGACUGUUUGUUCAUAAUUUUGGUUGUAAUCUGGAAUUUUGAUGAAACCCUAGCUUGUGCUUCUAUAGAUGAUGUAAAUUUAUGAGAUUUUGAUGAAACCCUAGCUUGUAAUUCUAUCGAUGAUGUAUAUUUCUGA
rnacentral:lncRNA from 1 species